GCAAGUCGAGCGCUCUCUUCGGAGGGAGCGGCGGACGGGUGAGUAACGCGUGGGAACAUACCCUUUUCUACGGAAUAGCCUCGGGAAACUGAGAGUAAUACCGUAUAAGCCCUUCGGGGGAAAGAUUUAUCGGGAUAGGAUUGGCCCGCGUUGGAUUAGAUAGUUGGUGGGGUAAUGGCCUACCAAGUCGACGAUCCAUAGCUGGUUUGAGAGGAUGAUC
rnacentral:rRNA from 1 species